AUCUUUUUAAUAUAUGAGUAUACUUGACUUCCAAUCAAGAAGACCGUUACUUACGGAAAAGAUA
rnacentral:tRNA from 1 species